GCCCUCGCCGCCUAAGGCGUAGGGCCUGCCCGUCAACCCAGGAACGGCUGCGGCCUGGUGUUUGGCGUCGUCAAGCAGCCCACUGCUCGUCCACUGUGUCACCCGGUGGGCGGGGACUUCUAGGUGACUGAGCCCGGCGGCGCGUCGCCAGCAGCAGCGCCGGGGCUGAGAAAACCGUUUGCUGGCUGCGCCCGGAGAAGACCUGUGCAGUGUUUCUCGGACGGGAGUUCAAGUCUCCCCAGCUCCACCA
rnacentral:tmRNA from 1 species